rnacentral:lncRNA from 10 species
CAGGAAAGUAAGAUGAGGGGGUAAAAAGAGCAAAUGUGUGGAGGCUAUCUCUGUGAUGGACAGAGAAAAAGUGGCAGGGUAGAUAGUAAUGAAAGUCCCAGUGGCUUCCAAAAUUGUAGGAGUGGGAGUUCUGUAGAGUGAACUAGAGAGUCAAGCAGUGAGCGGGGAGUGGGGUGCUUGAAAUUGAGAUGACUGAGAUGAUGCCCAAAUUGGUAAACUUAAAGUCUACAAGGAGCUUCAGAUAUAUACCUGUCGUGGUUUGGCUCUGUGUUUCCACCCAAAUCUCAUGUCAGAUUGUAAUCCCCACACGUUGAAGGAGGGGCCUGGUGGGAGGUGAUUGAAUCACGGGAGCAGACUUGUCCCUUGCUUUUCUAGCGAUGGAGUUCUCAGGAGAUCUGGUUGUUUGAAAGUGCGUGGCACUUUCCCCUUUCCUGUCUCUCUCUCUCUCCUGUUCUGCCAUGGUAAGACGUGUUUGCUUCCCCAUAGCCUUCCACCAUGACUGUAAAUUUCCUGAGCCCUCCCAGCCAUGCUUUCUGUACAGCCUGUGGAACUGUGAGUCAAU